rnacentral:piRNA from 1 species
CACUCUUUUGUGUACUGGGACAUGUGGUC